rnacentral:rRNA from 1 species
CCCUUAGAUGUUCUGGGCCGCACACGCGCUACACUGAAGGAGGCAGCGUGUACUCCUGGAUCGAAAGAUUUGGGUAACCCGCGAAUCUCCUUCGUGCUAGGGAUUGAGGUUUGCAAUUAUCCUUCAUGAACGAGGAAUUCCCAGUAAGUGCAAGUCAUAAGCUUGCGCUGACUACGUCCCUGCCCUUUGUACACACCGCCCGUCGCUACUACCGAUUGAGCGGUCCGGUGAAUAGUUCGGACUGCGCCUCGUGCAUCUGUGCUUGGCGCGGAAAGUUCAGUAAACCUUAUCGCUUAGAGGAAGGAGAAGUCGUAACA